AUUGAACGCUGGCGGCAGGCUUAACACAUGCAAGUCGGACGGUAACAGGAGGAAAGCUUGCUUUCUUUGCUGACGAGUGGCGGACGGGUGAGUAAUGCUUGGGAAUCUGUUUUAUGGAGGGGGAUAACUACGGGAAACUGUAGCUAAUACCGCGUAAUAUCGAGAGAUUAAAGUGUGGGACCGUAAGGCCACACGCCAUAGAGUGAGCCCAAGUGGGAUUAGGUAGUUGGUGGGGUAAAGGCCUACCAAGCCGUCGAUCUCUAGCUGGUCUGAGAGGAUGACCAGCCACACUGGGACUGAGACACGGCCCAGACUCCUACGGGAGGCAGCAGUGGGGAAUAUUGCACAAUGGGCGCAAGCCUGAUGCAGCCAUGCCGCGUGAAUGAAGAAGGCCUUCGGGUUGUAAAGUUCUUUCGGUGGUGAGGAAGGUUGUAAUGUUAAUAGCAUUAUAAUUUGACGUUAGCCACAGAAGAAGCACCGGCUAACUCCGUGCCAGCAGCCGCGGUAAUACGGAGGGUGCGAGCGUUAAUCGGAAUAACUGGGCGUAAAGGGCACGCAGGCGGAUACUUAAGUGAGGUGUGAAAGCCCUGGGCUUAACCUAGGAAUUGCAUUUCAUACUGGGUAUCUAGAGUAUUUUAGGGAGGGGUAGAAUUCCACGUGUAGCGGUGAAAUGCGUAGAGAUGUGGAGGAAUACCGAAGGCGAAGACAGCCCCUUGGGGGAAUACUGACGCUCAUGUGCGAAAGCGUGGGGGAGCAAACAGG
rnacentral:rRNA from 1 species